rfam:Bacillus circulans strain RIT379 contig2, whole genome shotgun sequence.
UACAACUCUUUAAUCGAUUUACAGGGUGAAAUCCCCUGUCAUGACUAAUAUUCCAAGUCAAGUCAUGUCUAUGAGACUCCUACAUGCGUCUAUCAUUCCAAUGUGAUAGAGGUCUGAAGCUAGGUGAAGUCGUCCUUGAAGCGAACUCGUUAAACGUGGAUUUAGGGCGGUAGGCUUUAAA